GGGGCAAGUGGCGCUGGGGCAGUGAGCUCCGUGCCAGCCGCCCGCUGGCACUGUCCAUCCUGGCCGGGUCAGCAGCGGGCAGGGAGGCGGGCCAGAGCAAGCCUGCCCUCAGUGCCCCGCGGUCUCUUCCAAGCCCUUACCCAGAGCGAAGAAAGAAAACCCGUCCAGCUGAGCGGCUGACCCGUCUCAGACUCCCCGGGAGCUGUCACCAGCACCCCUGCUGCUGCCCAUUCAGAGGGCAGGGGAUUGUGACAUCCUUGGUGCCAGGCCUGCGAAGACAGAGUCCAAACUGUUACUCAUCUGGAUGGAAGACUUUCUCAAGUAGUGUUUCCCAGAAGCGGCCCCUGAGAGGUGCAUUUCCUGAGGCCUCCAAUGCCUGAUGUUUCUUCCCCUCUCCUGGGUCUGGGGGUCCUCGGGGUGCAGAGCUCAAGGGAUGCUGUUCUCCACAGAAACUCUGGGCGCCCUGGGGUUGCCAGUGGGCAGGUGGUCUGAGCACACGCGAAGCCACCCCACCUGGUCCUCUUUUGUUUCUUUUUAAGUCUGGAAGCCUGGAGGAGGCUUUCUCUCCUCUUAGAAUCCAGAAUGUUCUUUGUGAUGUGCCUCAGUUGCCUGUCGUGUUGUUUGUCCUUCCCAGAACGUGGCAUUCCCUUUCAUCCGACACUGUCAUCUUCCUUGGGCUGGGGCCGCCACCCUCCCGGAUCUUGCCGGGACCACAUCUGCCCCACCCACCCCGUCCUUUGUCCUUCUGCACAGACGCGGGAGAGCUCCAGGAGUCGGUCUCUGAUUCAGUCACAGCUUCUCAUCGCUGUCUGUUUUGCUCUUUUGCUUCCAUUACUUAAGCAAUUUCGACUUCUUUUCGUGAUGUCCAAGAGCCCUCUUCCUGUUCCCGGCUGCUCCUUCUUUUUCAGAGCUGACUGUUCUUACUUUGUCCGCACACGUUGACCAGGUGACAGGUCCCGCUGUCCGGGAAGUCUGACCCGCCGUCGCUGCGCCGGGUGUGGUGCUCGGCUCUGCUGCCUCCGCUCCGGGGUCCUCAGCUGUCUGACCUGAACCGCCUUUUGUUCUCUGCUCCUAUUUGUGUAUCAGCGACGUUCUGCUGAGACCGUCCGCGGGGCCGAGGAGCAAGUGGAAAGGGGGUGCGUCCAAGCCCGUAACUUCUGGAACCUCCGCAGCCUCCCGGACACCCUGCCAGCUCCCCAGCCGAGCGCUCAGACAAGGGGACGGCGGCAGACCCGGCACCACACAGCCUCCUCCCCCAGCGACGGUCCCCGCAGAGGCGGUGGCACUCAUGGUCCCUCUCGCUGGUGACGUGUUCGUUGGCAUCCUCGCCACUUUUUGCGGGUGGUAACAGACCCAGGCCUGGGCUUUAUUUUUAUAUUUUUUUGAAGGGGAGGGGAUUUAUUCUUUCUGAAAAAUCGCUGAAUUCAUGAGCACAUUUACAAGGAUGUGGAUUUGGGGUUUGUAUCUCCCUCUAAGUGCCUUUUUAAAUGUACGUAUUUUUUUAAAUAAAACAGAAAUGCAUUCCUGUACAAUUCUGUUUAAACUGGACCAAGGCUCUCAGAAAAAGAACCUCGCCCUGCCUGCCCGCCCCCAGCCUCUGCAUGGCUGUUCCCAGUAAGCCUGGAAGCCUUCCCACACCUCUCCUCUCUUUCUUUCUCGUAGUUUGCUUAGCUAACUGUUUUUAAAAAAUAUUUUCUGUUUCAGUGUAUAUGUUGCUUAUUUGUUUUAUUUAUUGAGAUGUUUUUUAACAAGCUCAGUGACUGCAGUGUGGCUGUGUACACCGCUCCCCUCCAGGAACAAUAAAGUCGU